UAAAACCCUUUGCGCAUGCUCGAACUGGUUCAUCUCAAACCCAAACCCAAGAUAAUACAAAACAAGAGCCAAACAAAAACAAUAAUAUGAUGUGAUACAGGGAUUUGAACAGAAGAUGAGAAAACGAAGAAUGAAUUCACGAUGAAAAUGGACUUGAAUAAAAUCCUGGAAAGGUUUUUUCAAAACACGUUUUUCUUUCUUCUCCUUGGGUUUAAUUUCUCCGACGGAAUAGCUCCCUGUGCACAGGACGAGUUUCAGUGCGCUGAUGGCUCCAGGUGUAUCCCGUCCCAGUGGUACUGUGAUGGUAUCCCAGAGUGUCUGGAUCUCUCCGAUGAACCCGAAUCCUGUCCCGAACCGUCCUGCCAGGAGGGUCAGUUCUCAUGCAAGAAAACAGGGAAGUGUAUAAUGGAAGGCUGGUUGUGUGAUGGUGAGCUGGAUUGUGGAGGAUCAGGAGAAGAUACAUCGGACGAAGAUCCUCUUCUCUGCUCAACCAACUCAACCUGUCCUAAUGGACAAACCGCCUGUAGAGACUCAACCUGUAUCCGGACAGAGCUUCACUGUGACGGAAAGGUUGACUGUGCAGAUAACUCUGACGAAGGACCUUUUUGUGAUUUGUUGGACUGUGAAAGUUUCAACUGUAGCUCCGAGUGUAGAAUGAGCUGGCGGGGAGCUAAGUGUAUUUGUCCUACCGGAAAGCAACCAGCUGGUGCUCUCUGUGUAGACGCUAAUGAGUGCGCUGUUGAAGGAACCUGUGAUCAACUGUGUACAGAUCUACCUGGAACCUACCAGUGUGCUUGUCUUCCCGGAUACAAGCUUGUUCCUCCCUCGUCCUGCCUCGCCAUCAACUCCCCACUCAACCAACCUGCAUCUCUUCUAAUAUCAAGCACUGAUACAGUACAAAAUAUCCAUCUGGAUGGAAGAACGAUUAAAAAAUUAAACACAUUGGACUCAUACGCCAUAGAUUUCAACCAUAGAAACCAAUCCUUUUGCUGGAUCUCACACUCAUACAACACUACCCCAACAGUUUCAGGUUCCUCUAUGAGUUGUUCUAGAAUAGAUAUGUCGGAGAACUGGAGUUUACCUGAUCCAGAUCUAUUCCCCUACUCCAACGUGAACCAGAUUGCUCUGGACUGGGGAAGUGGGAACUGGUAUUAUCUGGAUGAAUCUAGAGAAUCUAUAUUCCUGUGUCGACUAGUGGAAGGAUCUACCAAACAGUUUUGUAAAGUUGUGAUCAAUACAAGAAUGAGUAAACCUAGAGGAAUUGCUCUGGAUCCUUCUGCAGGUUUCAUGUUCUUCACAAGCAGUGGUUCAGCUCCACCCAGGCUAGAGAGAGCAGGGUUGGAUGGUUCACAACGGAAAAUCCUGGUUGAUACUAAGAUAGUCUAUCCCUAUGGAGUAACCGUAGACCAUCCAAACAGGCAUGUUUACUGGGUGGAUACGUACUUAAACUACAUAGAACGUUGCUCCUAUAACGGAGAAGGAAGGAUAACAGUGGUUCGAGGCUCUCCAGUAGAACACCUUUACACGCUCUCAAUCUUCCAAACAAGUAUAUUCGUCACAUCCUGGAGAGAAAACUCAAUUCUUCAUCUGGACAGAUUCAAACCUACAAAUAUUUCCAAAAUUGUUCAAUCCAAAUCCCGCCCGUUCUCUGUUCAAGUUUACCAUAGAGCUAGGCAACCUCUGUAUACCAACCUAACUGUAGAUAUUCAUCCAUGUUUGGAGAGGAACCCAUGCCAACAUUUUUGCAUCCCGCUCUCCGUGUCUCCGUACUACAAGUGUGUGUGCAGAUCAGGGUUUACUCUCUCCAACUCCGGGUCCAACUGUAUCCUGCAAACUGUCAAGAAUAUACUUAUCUUCGGACAACAGAAACCAGGGAUGAUCCGUGGAAUCACAUCCAGCAGCAUGAAUACAGAUGUAAUGAUACCCGUCUCUGGGAUCUCUAGACCAACCACAAUGGAUUUCCAUUUUAAAACCAAAUAUCUAUACUUCUCUGACUCCCAAGCUUUAAAGAUCGAACGUGUGAAAAUGUUUGAGAACAAGAUGAUCCGGGAGGAUUUUAUCACUGAAGGAUUGAACAAGGUUGAAGGAUUAGCUGUGGAUUGGGUUGGAGAGAACCUGUACUGGAGUGAUGAAGGAUUACAGAGUAUAUUUGUGAUCUCUCUUCUUGAUCCUAGCUCAAGGAGGACCUUGAUCAACUCCGGGACCAGUAAUGUAAGAUCAUUGUCUUUAGCAGCUGGGAAGGGUUUGAUGUUCUGGACGAACUGGAACAAUAUUGAAGGCGGGAUAUCAUUCUCUGGUACGAUCUACUCCGGUUGGAUGGACGGCACCAAUAUACAAGCUCUGGUCACAUCAGAGCUCCAGUGGCCAAAUGGUCUUGUUUACAACUCUGACACAGAAACUUUGUAUUGGUGUGAUACAUUCCUAAAUAAGGUUGAAUCCUUAAAACUCGGAGAUGAUCUAAACAAGAAUUCUGUCUCGCAACGGAGAAAACUUAUUCUUUCUGGAGAGCGGUAUACAUCCCGUCCCUAUGGUCUCACGUUCUACAAGAAUGAACUGUUCUGGACUGAGUUUAUUAACGGAAACAUUAUUACCCACAACCUAGAAACAAAUAUAACCUCAACCAUUCUCAAGAAUAAUCCUCAAAUGUUUGAAAUCAAAUACUUCUCUGCAUCUGCGCAGAAGGUGUCAAAGAUGGAUUGUUCUGCGCUGAAAUGUUCUCACCUCUGUUUGAUAACUCCUGCAGCUCCUGUAUGCUCCUGUCCUAAUGGAUUACAGUUAAACCUGGAUAUGAAAACCUGUGAUAAGAAACCUGAUAUCACAAAUGCCGAGUGUAAGGAAGGAGAAUUUAAGUGCAAUGAUCCCUCAGGAUUGUGUCUAAGUCAGGAUAAGGUUUGUAACGGAGUUAAAGACUGUUCUGAUGGUUCGGAUGAAACCCUGACCGAGACUUGUUUCCAUGAUGGAACCUGCUCCGAGGAGCAGUUCACCUGUCUCACUAGCUCCGAAUGUAUAUCUAAGAUGUGGAUGUGUGACGGGGAUGAGGACUGUGAGGAUGGAAGUGAUGAAACUGAAGAAAUGUGUUCUACCCUGGAGUGUGAGGAGGAUAAGUUUGAGUGCUCCGGUGACGGUAAAUGUAUCCCUGGGAGCUGGGAGUGUGACGGAGUACCUGAUUGUCCUGAUUCUAGUGAUGAACACCAGGGUUGCUUCAAUGUUUCAUGUUUAUCUACUCAGUUCACCUGUGAUACCUACAAGUGUAUACCCAAGGACUUCAAGUGUGACGGAGAGGAGGAUUGUACGGAUGGAACGGAUGAACAAGGUUGUCCGCAAAUCUGCGAGGAUGGACUGUUUUUCUGCUCCGUUGAUUGGCAGUGCAUACCAGAGAAUUCUAUCUGCAAUGGACAGAAGGACUGUACGGACGGAGAGGAUGAGAGAAACUGUCCAACUCAGCUCCAGAGUCGGUGUGAACCAUCAGAGUUCUUCUGUGGAGAUGGAACUUGUCUCCCAAGUAAGUUUGUUUGUGAUGGGAACCAGGACUGUGUGGACGGAUCAGAUGAAAAUCAUGGGAACUGUACAUCUAACUGUAGAAGCAAGGAAAUAUCUUGUAUUUCCGGACAUAAAUGUAUCCCUGUAUCCUACUGGUGUGACGGGGACAUAGAUUGCGAAGACGGAUCGGAUGAGUCGACAUGUAACAGUGUGAUGCAUUGCAAUUAUCCGAAUCUGGAAUGUGACUCAAGGUUGAAUAAAACAAAAUGUAUUAAUGCAGAGAGAUUAUGUAACGGAGUCCAGGAUUGCAAAGACGGAUCGGACGAGGGAUUGCUUUGUCCUGAGAAGCAGUGUGAUAGUUUGAUAAAUACCUGCUCCGACGUGUGCUUUAAUUCUCCUGAUGGACAUCGUUGCUCCUGUCCAGCAGACCAGUACCUGGAUCAAUCUCGGACCAACUGUACAGACCUUCAUCCUUGUAGUCAGUGGGGCACAUGUUCUCAACUCUGUAAACAAAUAUCAGGACACAGGCAUAAAUGUUUCUGUCAUAAAGGUUACUCUCUCCAGUCGGACAAGUUUACAUGUAAGAGUAAAGAUGAAUCUCAUCCCAGAAUAGUUUUCACCAAUAGACAUGAACAUAGAGCUAUUGAUCUUAGACGUGGUAAAGCUAGAACCAUUCUCUCCAACCUGAAGAACACUAUAGCUCUUGAUUUUUUUAUAUCCAAGAGUAAAACUGAACUCUUCUGGAUGGAUCUGGCGGAUGAUUCUAUUUAUAGAGGAACCUUGAACGAAGAAAUGAUCUCCGACAUGAAGCAAGUUGUUCACUCCGGACUCACCACGGCAGAAGGUUUGGCUGUUGAUUGGAUCGGAGAAAACUUGUACUGGAUUGAAUCCAACUUGGAUCAGAUUGAAGUAGCAAAAAUCAAUGGAUCCUUCCGGAAAACACUGAUCUCAGGAAACAUGCAUAGUCCUCGCGCCUUGGCUCUGGAUCCUGGAGAAGCUAUCUUAUUCUGGACAGACUGGGAUUCUGCUGGGAACUCAAGAAUUGAGUCCUGCUCUAUGGACGGAGAUGAGACCCAGAGGAGAAUUGUUUUCCUGGUUUCCAGUUAUGGAGGAGCUUGGCCCAACGGGUUAACCCUGGAUUAUCUUGUAAGACGUAUUUACUGGAUAGAUGCUAGAAGUGACUCGGCACACACAACAUUCUACGACGGGUCCGAUCACAGAGAGAUUCUCCGAGGUCAUCAAUAUCUUUCUCAUCCUUUCUCUCUUGCUCUGUUUGAAUCACAUAUCUAUUGGACAGACUGGAGAACUAACUCAGUUGUUAGAGCAAACAAAUGGAACGGAACCGAUAUCAAGGUUAUGGAUAAAACUUUAAACAAACCUUAUGGGAUCAAGGUUGUCCAUCCUUCUCUUCAAAUCCGUCCUAGAAAACCUCAUCCUUGCAACCUAAAUAACGGAAACUGUUCUCAUCUAUGUUUAUUGGGAUUGAAUCGAACUGCAACCUGCGGUUGUCCGCAUAUUAUGAAGCUCUCUGUAGAUAAGAAAACCUGCGAAGAGAAUCAUGUGAUGCUUCUCUACUCCGCCGAGAAUGAGAUCCGAGGAGUUGAUCUAGCAAACCCUGCUCAUCAUCUCAUCCCUCCCAUUCCUUAUCCUAACACAGUUUUCCCUAAUCAUAUUAACUUCCUGGCCAAAAGUAGGGAAUUAUUUUGGAUGGAUACAGGCAACCCAAGUUGGCCAAGUAUCCGGGUUAUAAGACGAGCUAGUAUAGGAGGAGAAGAUAACCAAGUUCAUGUUAUUGUAGAAGUUGUUGGAUACGAUUCUAAGGAUACCCUGGCCCAGGGUCCGACAGCUAUAGUUGGAGGACUGUCAAUUGAUUGGAUCUCGGAAACCCUGUUCUACGCAAGCUCGGACGAAGAGAACAAUGACUCCAGUAGUAUCUACGCUAGUAAACUGGAUGGAACGGGAGUUGUUAAGAUAAAAGAUCUCCCGUCAUUAGUAAAGGACUUACUCGUGGCUCCAGAGCUAGGAAUAAUAUUCUGGCACGAAGUGAACCUGGAGAACUCAACUGAAAGUAUAAUGAGGAGCUGGAUGGAUGGAACUGAUAUAGCUGAGAUUUACUCUGUUCUAAGAUCAGAAGAUGAUCCUUACAAUCUGAGCUGUUUAACCUUUUACUCGGAGACAGAAGAUCUUUAUUGGAUUGAGAACUCGGAGCUGAGACAGUAUAAUAUUCACGCAGGAUUACUUGAUUCCUCUUCGUACCUUCCAUUCCCUGGGAUAACAGCGUUAACCAUCUAUAAUCAAACCUUCUUCUAUGGAAAAAAUCACGGAGGAAACUCGAGUAUAAUGUCUCGAGAUUUGAGAAACGUGGACCAGGUUUUAAAGAACCUGACGAAUGUGGUGUUGUCUCUACAAGUCUAUGAUCGUAAAAUGCAGAUUGGGGUGAAUAAAUGUGGAACUAAUAAUGGAGGUUGCCAACAUCUCUGUGUACCUGUUAAACAAGGAAAAAUCAGAUGUAUGUGCAGUAUUGGUUAUCAUGUCAGUGAAUUCAACACCUCGGAGUGUAUUCCCAUCCCACACUUCCUGCUAUAUCUGUCAGAUAACAGGAUUCAAGGCAUGUCUCCGUCCAACUCCCACCAAAGCAGUGUUCUAGUUCCAGUUCCUAACACGGGUCAACCCACUUCAGUUUCAUACCUGGCAGCAGAGAAUAUAAUAUUUUGGUCAGAUAACGGGGUCGGAGAAAUAUGGAGGAUGAAGCGGGAUGGAACGGAGAAGAAAAUGAUCUUGGAUAAACUUGAAUCUCCUGUUUCUAUUGCAAUAGAUUGGGUUGCAAAGAACCUGUAUUGGACGGAUGAUAGAACAGAUGUUAUAGAAGUUUGUAGAACAGACGGAAGGUUCAGGAAGGUUAUCAUCUCUGGAGGUCUAGUUAGACCUUCAGCUAUUGAAGUGUCUCCUGCACAUGGUUUUCUCUUCUGGGCAGAUACAGACAUAAGUGGAGCAAAGUUGGAACGAUCUUUCUUGGAUGGGUCAGGGAGAAAGGUCAUUUCUGAUAAUACAAAAAUGAAUUUUGUGACUGACAUCAGUCUGGAUACAAUUGGUGAAUGGGUUUAUCUUUGUUAUCUUGACUCAUCUAAUGGAGAAGCUUUUAGCAGGGUUUCAUUUGAUGGAGAUACAUUUGAAGUGCUACGAAAAAAGGAUGAAGACCUUUUCAGAUCUCCUGUAUCCAUUACCUAUUUCGAGAACAAGCUCUGGUGGAUGGAUGUCAAUUACAAACUUGGCAGUAUUAACUAUUUCGACAUAGAUCUCAGCUCUGAUGUAAAAAUCCUGAAGCAGAAUCUAGGAGACAUUACUAAUCUAAAGGAUAUAGAGAUGUAUAGCCAGUCUUUACAAGACCAGAAUGUUACAAAUGUCUGUAAGAAUCCUUCUCAUUGCUCUGAACUCUGUCUAUUCAACGGACAGGAAGGAGUUUGUCAAUGUUCAUUCAGGAAACUAGGUGAAGAUAAGAAAACCUGUGUUGACCACAGCGCAUUCAUAUUAUUCUCCGCAGGUUCCGUCAUAGAAAGUUUACACCUGAAUCCUGAAAAUAAUUUAACACCCCCCAUCCCCACAAUCUCGAAUAACGUUUCACUCCAGAAUGCGAUUGGAUUGGCAUAUAGUUACCAGGAGAGUACAAUAUUCUACUCGGAUAUUCAGGCUGGAACCAUCAACAGUGUUUACUUUAAUGGAACUGGAUUUAAGAAGAUUUUGUCCGGACAAAGCUCAGUGGAAGGCCUGACGUUUGAUAGUUUAAGAAACAUUCUUUACUGGACUUCAACAUCUGAUAGUUCAAUCAGAAAACUUAAUAUCUCUAACUCUGAUGUUUUAAGGACAGAGCUAGUUGUUCAACUAAGCUAUGAGGAUAAACCGCGGGGGAUAGACAUAGAUAUUUGUACCGGUAUGAUUUACUGGACAAACUGGAACAGGAAAAGACCAUGUAUCCAACGUGCAUUCUCAUCUGGAUUCCAGAAACAAGAAAUUGUAGCAGAUAAAAUUCAUAUGCCAAACGGAAUCACAGUGGAUAGUAAAUCUCAGAAAUUCUACUGGGCUGAUGCCAGGUUGGAUAAAAUUGAUAUGUGUAACCUUGAUGGAACAAGUUGCAAGACUGUAGUUUCCGCAUAUAUUGAGCAUCCGUUCGAUAUUGCAGUUUUUGAUCAGUUCCUAUUCUUCACAGACUGGAUGUCACAUAGUGUUGUAAAGGUAAAUAAGCUGUCUGGAGAGGAUAGAGUUGUUUUAAAAGAUGAGCUAUUGAGACCAAUGGGUAUCAUUGCUGUCUCAGAAAACCAAAACUUUUGCCCCAUCCCUAAGUGUGGGGUUCAGAAUGGUGGUUGUGAGGAUAUAUGCAACUCAGAACAAGGUUAUGUACAGUGUUCUUGUAGGACAGGGAGGCAUCUAAUGCCAGACGGACAAAGAUGUAUUUCCUCUGCUUCAAACUGCGCUUCUAAUCAAUUCCAAUGUUCUAGUGCAAGGCAGGAUAGCAUUGAGCACCUUGUCUGUAUUCCCUACGAGCUAACAUGUGAUGGGAUAGAUCAUUGUCCUGACAGAUCAGAUGAAAAGAUAGAAUAUUGUUCAUCAAGGUCUUGUCCUUCAAAAUUCUUCCAAUGCUCCAACAAUAAAUGCAUUCUCAAUGAUCUACAGUGCAAUGGUGUAGACAAUUGCGGAGACUUUUCUGAUGAAACCGAAUGUAAGUGUGACAGGGGAGAGGACAGUUUUAAAUGCAAAAUAGGUCCCUGCAUCUCUGAGAAGAAUGUGUGUGACUUCUCUCCUGACUGUCCUGAUGCCAGUGAUGAAACAAACUGCCCUCCUUUCAACUGUACAGAAGUUGUUAAAAAUACCCACCACAGAAAAGUAAAUGAGGAAUUAAUACCUUGUGUUCGAACCACUGCUUGCAUUCUACCCAGCUGGGUAUGUGAUGGACAAAAUGACUGCUGGGAUGGGUCAGAUGAGGAGAACUGCACCCUUGGUCCUGUUUUAAACACUCUCUGUCCAGACGAACAUUUUCAGUGUGAGGAUGGUAAAUGCAUCAUACAAGGUUGGUUGUGUGACCGUGACCUUGAUUGUAAAAACGGAGAAGAUGAACAGAAUUGUACAAAUACUUGUGGAGCACAUGAAUUUCAAUGUCAUGACAAAUCACAGUGUAUAUCCUUAGCUUGGCAGUGUGAUGGAACCCCAGAUUGUGAUGAUAGAUCUGACGAAGGACCGGAAUGUCCUGAUAAAGUAUGUAAAUCUGACCUUGAGUUUAAGUGCCCCGAAGGACACUGUAUUCCUAAAUCCUGGGUUUGUGAUGGGGAAAAUGACUGUGCAAGCAAUGAGGAACUUAGUGCUGAUGAAGACAAGCUAAUCUGCACUGAAACAUGUGAGAGUAAUUAUUUCAGAUGCGCCAAUGGACGUUGUGUUCUAAACCACUUCUUUUGUGAUUCAGACAAUGAUUGCGGAGACUUCAGUGAUGAGCCAGAGACUUGUGCUUACAAGAAAUGUCCUGAGAACUUCAUCCAUUGUCGGACUGGUGUGGGGUGUCUUGAGAAGAGACAGCUCUGUGAUGGAUCAUAUGAUUGUGCAGAUCAUAGUGACGAACUCACUGCAUUUUGUGAAGCAAAAAAUGUAACUGAGAAUGAAGAAAACUACAGACUUGGUUGUAGAACCCAUGAGUUUAGCUGCAACAAUUCUGCUUGUGUGCAUCUUGCAUUAAGAUGCAAUGGGGAAAAUGACUGUGGGGACUUCUCUGAUGAGAUGAAUUGUAAAAACCAAAGUUAUCCCUUAAAUCUGGAUAAAAGAAAACACUGUCCUCCUGGAUAUCAGCUCUCUUCAGAUUUAUCUCAUUGCAAAGCUAAAAGUCCAAUUCAACCCAAGAUUAUGUUUUCCAACAGGUAUUACAUUAGGAUGGUGGAUCUUUUGGGAAAUUCUGAAAUAUUUGCUAAAAAUCAAUCGAAUGCUGUAGCUUUGGAUUUUGAUUACAAGUCAAAAUGUGCAUUUUGGUCUGAUGUGACGGCCCAUGGUUCAAGUUUAAGAAAGCUUUGUAAAGUUGGAGAAGAAUCAAAAAUUGUGAACUUGGCCACUCCACAGAACCCUGAUGGUCUUGCCGUGGACUGGGUUGGAAGGAACUUGUACUGGUGUGAUAAGGGUUCAGAUACUAUUGAGGUUUCUAAUCUUGAUGGAAAAUAUAGGAAAAUCUUGAUAAAUGAGGGACUUCAAGAGCCACGAGCUUUAGCACUUGACCCCCUAGAGGGUUAUUUGUACUGGUCUGAUUGGGGAGAUAAACCUCACAUUGGAAGAUCCUAUCUGGAUGGUUCCAACCCAACUGUUCUGAUAUCAGAAAAUCUUGGUUGGCCCAACGCCAUCACAAUAGCAUUUGACUCAAAAGAACUAUUCUUUGGAGACGCUAGAGAGGAUUAUAUUGCAUAUUCCAACUUAGAUGGGACUAAUAUAAGAAGAGUGCUUUCUCGUGGACAGAACCCCAGUAUUAAUCUUCAUCAUAUAUUUGCUUUGACUGUGUUUGAAGACUAUGUUUAUUGGACAGAUUGGGAAACUAAGUCAAUUGAAAGAUGCAACAAAUAUGAUGGAGGUAACCAAGAAACCAUAUUAACAGCUAUACAUAGACCGAUGGACCUUGCAAUAUAUCAUCCAAUGCGACAACCAAGCCCUGUUUUUAAUCCUUGUGAAAACAAUGGUGGAUGCCAUGGCCUGUGUUUAUUAAGACCAGGAAGUGAAGGAUUAGAAAAAUCUUGUUCGUGUCCAGAAAACUUUAUUUUAUCCGAAGACAAAAUAUCUUGCAAAUCAAACUGCUCAACAAGCAUGUUCCUCUGUGAGAGUACAUUGAAAUGUAUUCCAUUUUGGUGGAAAUGUGACGGCCAAGAUGACUGUGACGAUGGUUCCGAUGAACCACAAGAUUGUAGAGAAUUCAAAUGUAAACCUGGCCAAUUUCAGUGCCAAAACAACCAAUGUCUUCAUCCAACUCAGAUCUGUGACAGCAAGGAUGAUUGUGGUGAUCAGAGUGAUGAAAAGAAUUGCAAUGAAUAUGAAUGUUUCAAGAACCAAUUUAAAUGUCCUGCAAAUGGAACUUCAGAUUCCUUCUGCAUAUCCACAGAUAAAAAAUGCAACAAAAUCCCAGAUUGUCCUGGAGGAGAGGAUGAACUGAAUUGUCCAGCCAGAGAUUGUCAUGUUUCCCAGUUUCAGUGUGGCAAUGGAGCUUGUAUACCUGAAGUAUGGGUGUGUGAUGAGGAAAAUGAUUGCGGAGAUAACAGUGAUGAGUUGGAAACCUGCAAAGCUAUGAACAGGACAUGCGGGGGAGAUUUUUUCAAAUGUGGAAAUGGUAGAUGUAUUCCUCCAAGCUGGAAAUGUGAUCGUGAGGUUGAUUGUCCAAACAAAGAGGAUGAACCUGACUCUUGUGAAAAGAUCUAUGAGAGUACAUGUGACCCAACCUAUUUUCGUUGUGGUACAGGAAGAUGUAUCCCUGGAAGGUGGAGGUGUGAUCAUGAUCAGGAUUGUGGAGAUGGGUCGGAUGAAAAGUCCUGUUCUGUGGAAGAAUACCGAACCUGUUCUGAAGAUGAGAGAGCUUGCCAUAACGGAAAAUGUAUUCACAAUAGUAAAUGGUGUAAUGGUAUUGAUGACUGUGGUUCAGAUGAUCGCACUGAUGAGAUGUUCUGUUACCUGGAGUGUAGUGAAGAAGAGUUUAAAUGUAGUUUCCCUCCAUAUUGUAUUUACAAAGAAUGGAGGUGUGAUGGGGAAAGAGAUUGUUCUGAUGGAAGUGAUGAACUGAACUGUUUUUCAUCAAUGUGCACUGUAGGUGAGUUUGCUUGCAAGUCAUACCAAGACACCUGCUCUUCAAACCAUUGUAAUGGUACUAAAGAAUGUAUUAACUCACAAUGGAAAUGUGACGGAGAACUUGACUGUCUAGAUGGAAGUGAUGAGGAUUUUGAAACAUGCAAGAACUUUGUCUGUGAACCAAACAGAUUCAGAUGCGACACUAAUAAGUGUGUUUUGUGGAGUUCUGUCUGUGAUGGAACCAACGACUGUUCAGAUGGUUCUGAUGAAACUAAGCAAGCUUGUCUCAUUUCUGGAGGCUGUAUUGACAAACAGAACUUUAGGUGUGAAAAUAAUAAGUGUAUUGACACCUCACUGGUGUGCGAUGGAACUAAUGAUUGUCUGGACGGUUCUGAUGAAAGUGAUUGCGAAAAUAAUCCUUCUUGUGAAUUUGGAACUUGUUCCCAAAUCUGUCAGGUUAAACUCAGGGUUCAAGAUCAGCAUGCUUCUACUGGGAACUCUUCAAGUAUAUGCUUGUGUUCUCCAGGAUAUGAACAGACUGGACAUAAAAGACACUGUAAAGCUAGCGGCUCAGAUCCUGUUUUGCUGUUGGCAAAUGAAAAUACCAUCAGGCAUUUAAAUCCAUAUCAAUCUCAUAAAAUGGUUCAGAUUGAUUCAUAUGGGCAUUCCAACCAUGAAGGUUAUGACCAGCUAAAAAUUGAAGCUAUAGACAUACUUUACCAGGACAUGGUUCCCACAGCAUUUGUUACUUUACAUAACAACAGAUCAAUCUUGUAUGUUAAAUUUGAUACUGAAAUAGAAACACAUAGAAGGCGUCGCAGCUUAAUAGAUCAGCAUACUGGAGUACUAGUAGAAGAUGGAGGCAUCCCUAAAGGUUUAUCUGUGGACUGGAUCAAUAAGAAUGUUUACUGGAUAGAUACAGAAACAUCUAAUGUUCGUCUGGUCAACUAUGUGUCCGGAAACACACUGACCAUUAUUCAAGGAAAAAUAGAUAACCCAGGAGAUAUUGUAGUUGAUCCUGACUCAGGCAAACUUUUUAUCACGGAUUGUGGUUCAAAUCCUAAGAUUCUUACAUCAAGACUUGACGGGUCGGACUUAACAUUUUUAGUGGAGAAAAAAGUACAAUGGCCUUCUGCACUAGCAAUAGAUUAUCCUGCCAGAAGAUUAUACUGGACAGAUUUAAAGUCGAGGACUAUUGAAUCCGUAAGGUUGGAUGGAAAGAGUAGAAAUGUUAUUGUAACAGUGGAACCGAAGCUAGGAAAACCUUACAGGAUUGAAGUGUUCGAGGAUACAGUCUACUUUACUACAUACAGGAUCAAUAAGAUCCUGAAACUUAAUAAGUUUGGAAAAGGAAACAUUUCUAUUGUAGCAGAAGAAGUUUUGGCUGUUUCAGACCUAGUUAUCAUGCAGGAGAACAAGCAUGACAAGAUGUACACAGCAGAUCCAUGUAGUUCAGCUCCAUGUGAGAAGUUUGGUUCUCAAGUUGUCUGUAUCUCUAUUCCUGGAGAGGACCAAAGACUGACCUACAAGUGUGUUUGUUCUGAUAAUUAUCAAAUGAGAUCUGGAAAAUGUUCCCAUUUAGCUGACACCACCACUGAGACAUGUGAUGGUAUGAACUGUCAUGAGGGAACAUGUGAAAUGAAGAAUGGGAAACCUGAAUGCAGAUGUAACCUUUUCUUCUCUGGAAAGUAUUGUCAAACCUACAUAUGUGCUGGAUUUUGUCAGAAUGAUGCACGUUGUAUUCCGUUGAACAAGAUCCAGACUGGAAGUGAGUACAGUGCCAUUUGUAUAUGUAAAGAUGGAUUUCAAGGAGAUCGCUGUGAGAUCGCCACAAAGGAUUGUCUGGACUAUUGCCAUAAUAAUGCAUCUUGUGAUAUAAACAGAAGCAGUCAAAAACUUGAUUGUAAAUGUAGAAAUCCUUUCUAUGGAGAAAGAUGUGAUCAGUGUCCUGGGUUAGAUUGUUCUCCAGGUCUGUGCUCUAUGGAUAGUAUCGGAGAACCUGCUUGUUCCUGUCCUCCGGGUGUGGACUGUUUAAAGAACUCCUGCUCUGGUUUUACCUGUUUCCACAAUGGAACCUGUCACAUGGUGAAUGGUCAGCCCCAGUGCCUGUGUUCGGAUAGCAUGUACGCAGGAAGACAGUGUGAACAGGAUAAAUGUCUUUCUAUAUUCUGUAGGAAUGGUGGAUACGGUCACAGGAUGGAUGGUCGCUGUGUUUGUGUGUGCCAGAAAGGGUUUACAGGAGAGAAGUGUGAGAAUACUCUGAGCGAGUAUCUCCCCUGUCUAAACUGUGAAAAUGGAGGAACUUGCCGAACCCUGAACGGAACCAAGGUUUGUGAAUGCUCCCCGGAGUAUGCUGGUCCAACCUGUAAUAUCAAGAUACCUACCGGAACCAGUCCGUGCAAGCAGUUGGUUUGUCAAAACGGAGGAGUUUGUCAGACCUUGCGAUCUAACCGUGGAAAAUAUUUUGCCCAGUGUAUCUGCGAUGAGAGGUUUAGUGGAGAGUAUUGUCAGAGUAUAAACCGUUGUUAUAAACAUUGUUUAAACGGAGGAACAUGUUUCCCUGAUGGAAGUUCUGUAAGAUGUCACUGUACUCAAGGUUGGAGUGGGGGACGAUGUGCUCUCAACUUCGGAGAAAACGAUGAGAGAAAAGAUUUGGAUAACAGCGCUAUUAACUCCUUGACUGUUACAAUAGUUACAGUUUCUAUAGUUGCUCUAGCACUACUUGGAGCUCUAGUCUACCUUACAGUAUUCAUCAUUCAACGCAGACAGUUAUCCUCUCCGUUUAAACACCAUCGGAUGAACGAGAGCGGGACGAGGUCAAGCAACCUGGAGUACUCCAACAGGAUGUUCUUGCAGGACGACGAGGCUCAGGACCAACAUGGUCUCUUCUCCAUGGAGGAGCUCCAACCUGCCGCUAACUUUGUAAACCCUGUUUAUGAAACUAUGUUCCUGGAGAACCGUUCCUCGAUAAUAAAGGACGGAACAGUCUUACAUCCUGAUAUCCUGGAGUUAACCAACCUAGAGUCGGAGAGGAGUGGUUUACUCCGAUCUACGGAUGCGCCACCUGCCGACGGUAGACCGGUUAUUCACACUGAUUCAGAUUAAUCUUCAUAUGUUCUCCCAAUCCAGGGCAUUAUAGAUCUAAACCUACUCCUAGGUUGUAUCUAACACUAAACUAUACUACCGAACUGAAAUCUAAUAUUAAGUUUAUAAUAGUGCUCGGAUAUCCACACAAGCUUACAUUUCAUAUAAGAUUAGCUAUACUCCUUUAUUUAUAUUAAAUAGUCACGUGAAAAUAUUUGAAAAUUUGUUUUUUUUUUGAAUAAUGAAAUAAUAUUUACAGUCAAAUAUUUACAUCGCCACAAAAAUUACAUUUUAAUGCGUAUACCUAGGCUCAAGCUUAUUUUUUAAGCUUUAAAAUCUAAAUAUUUUAUUUGACCGUCCGUAAGACUUUAAACUAAUUGGCCUAAAAUGUUUUGCACAAGCUGUUGCCAAAUAUUGCCAUCUCGUAUUUAAUAAUUUGCUUUGCAGUACACAAUUAUUGUUGUUUACUUUUGUGAUAUGUUGUUUAUUGUAGAACGCCAUGUUUUUUUGGCAAGGGAACCAAUACCAUAGCAUUGUUAAUGUUCCAAUCCAAGUAUGUUUUAGUGUUCUAUCACAGUAUGGCCAGGUAAAACCUUUGUCUGGUAAGUUUUCCAUUUCUGUCUGGUAAGUUUUCUAUUACUGUCUGGGAAGUGUUCCAUCACUGUCUGGUAAGUGUUCCAUUACUUUCUGGUUUUUGUUCUAUUACUGUCUGGUAAGUGUUCCAUUCCUGUCUGGUAAGUGUUCUAUUACUGUCUGGUAAAUGUUCCAUCACUGUCUGGGAAGUGUUCCAUUCCUGUCUGGUAAGUGUUCCAUCACUGUCUGGGAAGUGUUCCAUUACUGUCUGGUAAGUGUUUCAACAAUAUUUGAUAUGUGUUCUAUUUCUGUCUGGAAAGUGUUUAACAACUCUCUGGUCAUUGUUCUGGUUUCAUAACACGGUUUUAAUCCUAAAUCAAAUGAGCUUCCAUUUUUCUUUGGUUCUUUGUUUUCCUGGUUCCUUUCCAUGGUUUCCUCAUUUCCUUUUUCUUUAGUUGUUCCCUGAUUCCCUUGUUCGUAUUUUUCUGUAUCCCUUGUUCUAUGGUUCCAUGGUUCCCUGGAUCUCUGGUUCCCCUGUUCGAUGGUUGUCUAGAUCUCUGGUUCCCUUAUUUGAUGGUUCCAUAGAUCACCAUGGUUCCCUAGAUCUUUGGUUCCUUUGUUCGAUGGUUGUCUAGAUCUCUGGUUCCCUUGCUUGAUGGUUCCAUAUAUCUCUGGUUCCCUAGAUCUCUGGUUCCCUAGAUUUCUGGUUCCCUUGUUCUGUAGUUCCCUAGAUCUCUGGUUCCCUUGUGUGAUGGUUUCCUAGAUCUCUGGUUCCCUUGUUCUAUGGUUCCCUAGAUCUCUGGUUCCCAUGUUCGAUGGUUCCCUAGGUCUCUGGUUCCCUGUUCUAUGGUAACCUUGUUCGAUGGUUCGAUGGUUCCCUGUUCAAUUGUUAUUUUGUUCGAUGGUUCCCUUGAUGCUUUGAGUGAAAUGAAUCUCUUCAGUAUUUUAAUUAUAUUUGUUUAAUCUUUCGUUAUAUAAUGUUGUGCCAAAUACAUUCAGUUUAUCCAACACAUUAAAA
rnacentral:misc_RNA from 1 species